rnacentral:rRNA from 1 species
GAGCGAGAAGACGUAGCAAUACGUUUGUAAAGCGGCGAACGGGUGAGGAAUACAUGGGUAACCUACCCUUGAGUGGGGAAUAACUAGCCGAAAGGUUAGCUAAUACCGCGUACGCUCCUUGGACUUCGGUUCAGGGAGGAAAGCGCUGCCGAGGGCAGCGCGCUCUUGGAUGGGCUCAUGUCCUACCAGCUUGUUGGUGAGGUAACGGCUCACCAAGGCUUCGACGGGUAGCUGGUCUGAGAGGACGAUCAGCCACACUGGCACUGCGACACGGGCCAGACUCCUACGGGAGGCAGCAGUAAGGAAUAUUGCGCAAUGGGCGAAAGCCUGACGCAGCGACGCCGCGUGGGGGAUGAAGGUCUUCGGAUUGUAAACCCCUUUCGGGAGGGAAGAUGGAAUGGGGUAACCCAUUCGGACGGUACCUCCAGAAGCAGCCACGGCUAACUUCGUGCCAGCAGCCGCGGUAAUACGAAGGUGGCAAGCGUUAUUCGGAUUUACUGGGCGUACAGGGAGCGUAGGCGGUUCGGUAAGCCCUCUGUGAAAUCUUCAGGCUUAACCUGGAAAAGUCGGAGGGGACUGCUGGGCUAGAGGACGGGAGAGGAGCGCGGAAUUCCCGGUGUAGCGGUGAAAUGCGUAGAGAUCGGGAGGAAGGCCGGUGGCGAAGGCGGCGCUCUGGAACGUUCCUGACGCUGAGGCUCGA